CAUGGGCGCAGCCUGAUGCAGCCAUGCCGCGUGUGUGAAGAAGGCCUUCGGGUUGUAAAGYACUUUCAGUCGUGAGGAAGGUGGUGUUGUUAAUAGCUGUAUCAUUUGACGUUAGCGACAGAAGAAGCACCGGCUAACUCCGUG
rnacentral:rRNA from 1 species